UGUGACCUCAAAUCAGGUAG
rnacentral:rRNA from 1 species